CCUACGGGGGACUGCAGUGAGGAAUAUUGGUCAAUGGACGAGAGUCUGAACCAGCCAAGUAGCGUGAAGGAUGACUGCCCUAUGGGUUGUAAACUUCUUUUAUAAAGGAAUAAAACGAGGCACGUGUGCCUUUUUGCAUGUACUUUAUGAAUAAGGAUCGGCUAACUCCGUGCCAGCAGCCGCGGUAAUACGGAGGCUCCGAGCGUUAGCCGGAUGUAUUGGGUUUAAAGGGAGCGUAGAUGGGUUGUUAAGUCAGUUGUGAAAGUUUGCGGCUCAACCGUAAAAUUGCAAUUGAUACUGGCAGUCUUGAGUACAGUAGAGGUGGGCGGAAUGCGGGGUGUAGCGGUGAAAUGCUUAGAUAUCACGAAGAACUCCGAUUGCGAAGGCAGCUCACUGGACUGCAACUGACACUGAUGCUCGAAAGUGUGGGUAUCAAACAGGAUUAGAUACCCUGGUAGUC
rnacentral:rRNA from 1 species